GUGGCCAGAGGGGCUGCGGCUCGAAGGCAGCUGGAGGUCAGGCCCCCGUCUGGGUACUGAGCCAGGGACCUAAACAGUGCCUGGCUCAGCUGCAGAGCAAGCAGGACCAGACCGCGAAAUGCCCUGGAGACCACGAAGAGCGUGACUUUAACCUAGGAAAGGGGAGUCCCUGAAGGCUUCUCGGAGGGGGAGAGUGAGAUGAGGCUUGUUGCAGUGACGGGGCGCUGGCAACAAGGUGGGAAGGGUUUGAAGCCAGGCAGCAGAACAGCAGUCCAGGCGAGCGGAGACCAGAUCAGGACUCAGCCAAGUCCCUGGUGGCAACGGAGAAGACGGAAGUCAACAGGCAUCUCUUAAGAAAGGAAUCGGAAUAAAGAAAGGCCGCCAGCCACCUGGAUGAUAUGUGGGAUGUGCAGAAUAAAACCAGUUUGGUGGACAGCAAGAUCAAACCAGUCCAUCCUAAAGGAAAUUGGUCCUGAAUAUUCAUUGAAAGGACUGAUGCUGAGGCUGAACCUCCAUUAUUUUGGCCACCUGAUGGGAAGAGCUGGCUCAUUGGAAAAGACCCUGAUGCUGGGAAAGAUUGAGGGCAGCAGAAGAAGGGGUGACAGGGGAUGAGAUGGUUGGAUGGCAUCACCGACUCGAUGGACAUGAGUUUGAGCAAGCUCUGGGAAUUGGUGAUGGACAGGGAAGCAUGGCGUGCUGCGGUCCAUGGGGUCUCAAAGAGUUGUGGACAUGACUGAGUGACUGAACUGAACUGUGAGGCUGAAUAUCAUGAAUCCUAAUAAUCAAGGAUAAAAACCAAGUUUACAUUUACCAUGCUGAAAAGAAAUGUGAUAAUAGUGCAUAUAUUAUCUAGCAGGCUUCCCAGAUGGCUCAGUGGUAAAGAAUCUGCUUGACAAGCAGGAGACACAGGAGACUCGGAUUUGAUUCCUGGAUCCAGAAGAUCCCCUAGAGGAGGAAAUGGCAACUCAUUCCAGUAUUUUUGUCUGAAAAACCCCAGUGACAGAGGAGCCUGGCAGGCUAUAGUCCAUAGCAUUGCAAAGAGUCAGACUCUACUGAGCAUGCAUUAUCCAACAACUUGCUUUUUUCACCUCACAGGCAGAUCUAUGAUGAUACAUUUGGGUCUACUUUUUUUUUUUUAACUGCUGUGUACCAUUUCAUUUCUUGUGUCAUCUUGGUGUAUUCAUGUAACCACUCUGCUACUGACUGUUUAACUAGAUUUAUUGAGUCAAUGAUAUCUGUCCAUUUGAUCUGCCUGAGAAGAUUCCAGGAGUCCAGAACACCUUGUAUUUCACAAUGUCCCAUUCACUUGCCCCUUCUCCAUCUUCCAUAUGAUUCUGCACUCAGAUGGGAAAGGUGUAAUAACUUUAGCACACAAAGAAUAACAAUUUCUUUUUAAAUUAAUUUUUAAUUGAAGGAUAAUUGCCUUACAGACAGCUUCCUUUAACUGUUGUUCAGUUGCUCAGUAGUGUCCAGCUCUUUGCAACCCAAUGGACUGUGGCAUGCCAGGUUUCCCUGUCCUUCACUGUCUCCUGGAGUUUGCUCAAA